rnacentral:rRNA from 1 species
GACGAACGCUGGCGGCGUGCCUAACACAUGCAAGUCGAACGGUAAGGCCCUUCGGGGUACACGAGUGGCGAACGGGUGAGUAACACGUGGGUGAUCUGCCCUGCACUUCGGGAUAAGCCUGGGAAACUGGGUCUAAUACCGGAUAGGACUCCGGACUGCAUGGUCUGGGGUGGAAAGCUUUUGCGGUGUGGGAUGGGCCCGCGGCCUAUCAGCUUGUUGGUGGGGUGAUGGCCUACCAAGGCGACGACGGGUAGCCGGCCUGAGAGGGUGACCGGCCACACUGGGACUGAGAUACGGCCCAGACUCCUACGGGAGGCAGCAGUGGGGAAUAUUGCACAAUGGGCGCAAGCCUGAUGCAGCGACGCCGCGUGAGGGAUGACGGCCUUCGGGUUGUAAACCUCUUUCAGCACAGACGAAGCGCAAGCGACGGUAUGUGCAGAAGAAGGACCGGCCAACUACGUGCCAGCCGCCGCCGUAA